rnacentral:rRNA from 1 species
AGAGUUUGAUCCUGGCUCAGGACGAACGCUGGCGGCGUGCUUAACACAUGCAAGUCGAACGGAAAGGCCUCUUCGGAGGUACUCGAGUGGCGAACGGGUGAGUAACACGUGGGCAAUCUGCCCUGCACUUCGGGAUAAGCCUGGGAAACUGGGUCUAAUACCGGAUAGGACCUCAAGACGCAUGUCUUCUGGUGGAAAGCUUUUGCGGUGUGGGAUGGGCCCGCGGCCUAUCAGCUUGUUGGUGGGGUGACGGCCUACCAAGGCGACGACGGGUAGCCAGCCUGAGAGGGUGUCCGGCCACACUGGGACUGAGAUACGGCCCAGACUCCUACGGGAGGCAGCAGAAGGG